ACCAAGUCCAAGAACAGAGGAGGGAACAUCUCCCAGGCAACAGCAGCUGCAAGCCUCUAAGCAGCCCAAUGCAUUGAGGACAAAAGGCACGAGGAUGGCAAUGGCAAGAAGCGAAUAACUCAACUCUGGUUUAGGAUUUGAAGCCCUUUGCCUUCAGCUCUACUUGAGUCAACAAUGCAACAUGGAAGCCAAAUAAGCUAAUGGACUCUUGGGCUGCAUUGCAAGGCAUAGUGCCCAGACUACAGGAGGCAACAACCCAGCCAUACCCUGUACUGGUCAGACAACAUCUGCAAAUUUCUGUGGUUCUGGAUUGUACAUUUUAACAAGGGAAUUGACAAGCUGGAGCAUGAUUAGAAGGGCAUGAAAAGGAUGAUUUGAGGGCUGAAGAACAUACCGUAGAAAACUCAACUGAACAUUGGUUAGCCAGGAGUAACCUAGCAAAAACCUAGGGGGAGAGGACACCAUAUAUGUUUUUUUUUUAUUAAAGUAUUUGAAGGGAUAUUGCAGGAAAGAGCCCAAAAUGAAGAAUUAGGAGUAAUGGAUGGAAGUUAA